rnacentral:rRNA from 1 species
AGUGAACGCUGGCGGUAGGCCUAACACAUGCAAGUCGAACGGCAGCACAGUAAGAGCUUGCUCUUACGGGUGGCGAGUGGCGGACGGGUGAGGAAUACAUCGGAAUCUACUUUUUCGUGGGGGAUAACGUAGGGAAACUUACGCUAAUACCGCAUACGACCUACGGGUGAAAGCAGGGGAUCUUCGGACCUUGCGCGACUGAAUGAGCCGAUGUCGGAUUAGCUAGUUGGCGGGGUAAAGGCCCACCAAGGCGACGAUCCGUAGCUGGUCUGAGAGGAUGAUCAGCCACACUGGAACUGAGACACGGUCCAGACUCCUACGGGAGGCAGCAGUGGGGAAUAUUGGACAGUGGGCGCAAGCCUGAUCCAGCCAUACCGCGUGGGUGAAGAAGGCCUUCGGGUUGUAAAGCCCUUUUGUUGGGAAAGAAAAGCAGCAGGUUAAUACCCCGCUGUUCUGACGGUACCCAAAGAAUAAGCACCGGCUAACUUCGUG